rnacentral:lncRNA from 1 species
CUCAAACCAACAUCGACAAAAGGGAAAGCAUUAUGAGAAAGAUUGUCUAGCCAUUACCAACAGUAUCUUCCACGUUCAAUGGAAAAAUUCAGGGAGUACCUUCCUCAUUUUCUUCCCCGUCCCCAUACAUUCUUAAUUAUAUUUUAAGACAAUGAGGACAAUGUCUGGUUUAAGUUUAGGGGUGGAAAAUAUUUUGUGUUUUUCGGUUUUCCUUGUUUUCGUGCGUUGUUUUAAUAUGUUUAAUAAAAUUAAAAAAAAUUAAAAAAAUCUUCAAAUUUUUAUUUUUUAUUUAUUUUUGGCUAUAAUUGUGUGAGUUAGACAGUUUGGCUGACAAUGAUGAUUAAAUUUGAGAUUUGGUGUUGAUUUAUGAACUGUGGAUAGAAUGCAUACUAGACUAAUUGAAGUUUGAACUUGCAAAACUUGAUAUUAUACAUGCACUAGAAAUGAGUUUAACAUUAUGAUGAAAUGAGUUCAUUCAUACACUUGAUAGACUGAAUUAGUUGGACAUAGAUGCUUAACCCAAACCAUACUAAUUAAUUAUCCUUAAACCAAAUUUAGCAUAAUUUGGGGAGAUCUUACUGUUGUAGGAAAAUACAGAUGUGAAUGUGGAUUCCUUGUGUGAAAAAUUUUAUGUGGAUUUUCUGAGAUUUAUAUGAUAAAAUUGGGUGAAAGUCUUAAAUUGGAGGUCGAUUUGCUUGAAUAGGUGUGUGAUAAGGGGCAUUGUACUGAUCAAGGCAUAUAUUUAUAAAUUUAAAAUUUUUUCUUCGGAACUUUUAUGACUUGAGCAAUUAAGUCUGUAAGGGUAUCUUAAAAUCUGGUGCCCUAAAGUCAUCUGACAUGAGAGUUAUCAACCUAAAACUCGGUACAAGGGUCAUUUAAAAAGCAAUCAGAGAUGAAAUUGUCCUAAAAAAUUGUUCUCUUUGAAGCCUUUUUUACUCGGGUUAUUAAGCCUGUAAGGGCAUUUGAAAAUCUGGUGCCUUAAAGUCAUCUGAUGUGGGAGUUAUUGGCAUAAAGCCUACUACAUGAGUCAUUUAGAAAGCUUAAGGGAGAGUGAAAAAAAAAACACUAAAUGCCUUGUAAGUCCCAACACUUGUUCGAGGAAAUUUGACUUUCGAUAAAGAAUAAUUAGCAUAAUUGAAUCUUGACGGUCGAAGCAAUCAAAUAAUUGGAGAAUCCUUGUUCAUUGAUGUGUUGACUUACAACUAGUGACGUCCACCUGAAUUGGAGAGGGUGAGGAUAGUAAUGAGAAAUUCAAUCUUAGAUCACAUACUGGGAAAAGAGUGAAAAUGAAUAUGUUUGGGGGUGUGUGAAUCUUACGAGAGAUGAAUAGAUAUAUUUGACUAUAGAGGGUCGGGAAUUGGAACAACUUGUGAAUUCAUUAAUGUCUACUUAGUUCUUCACACACACACACACACGUUGGUUUUGCAUUGGAAAAGUGGAUAUUAGUUUAGUAUAGUGACUUUGAAGUAGUUUGUAGAUUUAAUACCGUGAUUUCAAAUCCUGAGGCAAAAAGUUAGAUUGUCUAACCAAAUAUUUUUGCAUGUUUGCGUGUUUGUUAUUAUUUAGGUUAUAAUUUUGUUUGAGAACAAACAAAUGAUUUAUGUUUGGGGUGUUUGAUAAGUGUAUUUUAUACACUUAUUCGGGGCUCUAAAAUAACAAUAUCUGAUAGUCUUUUAGCAAAAUAUAUUUUAAAUUGUUGUGUCUUACGUUUAGUAGGUGAAUUUUCAUGGAUUAAAAGGAAGUGAAGGAAAGAAGAAAAAAUUGGGGGAAAAUGGCAAUAUUUGAAAUGCAUGGAUUAAAGUGGCCAUUGAAAGAAAAUUGAGAGCUUGGAAACAACUACCACCAUAAUGAGCCUCAAAUUUCAGUUGGACUUGGACUGCAGGUACUUUAAUUAAAGUGUGCUGGAAUCUUGAGGGAAGAAAAACACGUGCAGAUUGCCAAAUUGGAGAAAAAUUGGAAUCCUUUUGAAAGUCAAACAUUGUGGGCUAGGUUACCACUAAUAUAUAUACACAUGCUGGCAAAUAUAAAAAAGAGAAGGAUAGUUACACAUUAAUUGGGAACGGCAGCCGGAAGGAGAAUUAUACAUGCCAACUGGGGAAAAUUUUGCCCACUGCAGAAUUAAAUAUAUAUACACGUGAGGGAAUUAAUAGGGUUGCAUAUUGCUGAAGAUUAUAUAAUUACCCACAGGAAGGCAGAAUUGAUACAGAUUCAAACACGAAAUUGCGGCUGUUUUUGGUUGGAUUUACAUUCACAUGAGAGAGCCGAAGAUACACGAGCUACCUACUGCCGGGGAAUUAAAAAGGGAAAUUACAAAGGCAGAAAUCAAGAGAUACGAAGAUGGCAAACACGAGGAAGACCCGAACUAUUGGAAUUAAUUACGUUUCGUCUAUUUCUCGAUGAUGUCAUUCUAUUGAAUCAAUUACGUUUCGUCUAUUUCUCGAUGAUGUCAUUCUAUUUUUAUGCGUUUAAUUCCAACAUUAUGUUAGGCUAAUUUGUUUAAUGGAUUGGAUGGGACGAACCCUAUUGUCUAUUUAUUUCUAAUUCAAGACAAGUAAUUUAGUUUAAUUCUUGUGUUUGUUGAUUAAUUUUGCAUUUCCAUUGCACUAUUACAUUGUUUGUCCAUCAAUUAAAUAGUUAGUUGGUUGUUGUAGUGUAGGAAUGCUCACAAUGAGUUUAGAACGCG